UUGAUUUUUUUUUAGAUUACCAAUAGGUUGACACGUAUGUGAUUUUGUGUUUGUUACCGCUGUGCAUUUCUUGUGUGCAAUUUGGGUGUCCUUUUGCACUUUCUCCUUUUGUAAAUUUAGUGUUGUGCUCCCUUUUGUUACGGGUGGAUGUAGCAUUUUUAUUGAACCGCCGCUUUGACUUUUUCUGGAGAGAUCGUCUGCGUCCCUCGACUUCCCCCCGCGGUCUCUCUUUCUUUGCCCGUUCUUUUCUUCCUCCUUCACAGGACUACGCGGCGAAUCUCUGGCGAGUCACGGCCCCAUCGUCUUCCUCUGGUUUCUCCGGUGUCCCUCCACCCGCCAUCCUCCACGUCCGGCGCCACUGCCUGCUCUCUUCCGUUUUCCCGGCACCGCUGUGCUCGGCCCGCCCAUAGAUUCUUUAGAUUUUCUCUUCCUCUUUCCAUCCGUUUUGACCAGAUCGAGGGAAAUCAAGAAUCCUCUAGAUUUAUUCAGAUCAAUUUCAUCGUUCUCCAUCUCCUUCGUCUUCUCGCUGCCCGAGCUCCUUUCUAGCCGAUUCAUAUCUAGAUCCUGUGCCCGUACCGCCUCCUAUGGUCACCGGGUAAGGGUACUGUGGAGGUCUGGGUUCCUUGACUCAGCAACUUGCUCUUAUGAGGCACAGAGGCGGCGACGCGGAAUGUGUCAUUGCCGGCGACGGGGUGCGAUUGGGGGCAACAUGCGGAGGGGUGGAGUCCUUGGAGGGGACGAGGUCGAGUGGCUGAGCUUGGUCCCCGCGUUUGCCUCCAGCGAGAAGAGUAUUGUGGGUGGCACAGCGGCGGGGAGAACCUGCUGCGGAUUCUAGACGUGCGUGUGCCUUUUCACGCCUCCCGUCGGUUUUCCUUGCCCUCCACCUCGCCGCGGCGGUCGCCUGUCGUCGUCUUCUGGUGGCUGUGGAGUAUAGAGGAUCCUGCUUCCUUAGAGCUGUUCGCUGAGACGACCACCUCCUGGUGAAUCCAGAGGAGCAGAUGCCGCGCGCCUGGACCGUGCUUGACGCGGACCGGAUGGGGGUCGCCCCGUGGCAGGCUGGCAGCGCCGACGUAUACUUCCGCUACCUGCCUGGAAAUCGAAGCGGAACCCCAAGUGCGUCGAUCAGACGCCAAAUCCAUGGAGGAAAUGGAGCAGAGGCGGCCCCACUUUGUCGAAAUUCUCAGGCAAGCCUCCAUCCAGUACGACGACCCCCAUCCUCAGUUAGCGUGGACACGCCCGCUCCGUAUCCUAGCCAAGGCGGCUGGUGCAGGCACAGAAGGGGUCGACAGGUUGUUGCGGUGGUGUAGUGCCGCUGCGACCAAGGAUGUUGGCGGUCAAAGGUGACAGUGUGGAGGGGCUCGAGCUUGCGGGACGGUACGCCGCCAAGGUGGUGUUGAGCACUUUAAAACAAUUUUCAAUCGAAUCAGCCACCUCCAUCGCCUUGCAAAUUUCCGUAGGCUCAAACACUUUUCGGAGCACUUCAUGUCUUACAGACAUUUAGCCAAUUGUGUUACUUUGAUUUCACAUCAAGGCUUGAAAUCAUUCGGCUAUGUGGAUGAUUACUGAUAGGCCUAAAUUUCCUGACCGGGUUCUUCUCAUAGGAAUCUACAGAACUUUCAGGUGAAAAAAAACUAGAACACCAAUGAGAUUUUUGGAUGGGAGUCACAAGCAUUAAUGCAAUGUUAAGUUCGCCAAACCUACGAAUUAAACAGGCAAGGGGUUUUCUUAAAAGUUAUAAAAAUAUGCAUUACUAUUCAAUUGAAGGGGUGAGGCAAGUUUCAUGCUAGGUAGUCAACUUCAGUUUGUAGCCUGCAUAUUCUGUUGCUUUUAAUUAAAAGCAUUAUAACUAACUUAUGUAUUUUUCUUUUCUUUUUAUACAUCACAGAUGAUUUUGUAUUAGAACAAUAUGAAACAGAGAUUACAACUGAAUCAACCCCAUUUUCCGUUUCACUUGCAAGACACCUACACACUGUUAUGUGGUUCUGAGAUGUAUGGAGCGUUUUGGUGUUCUCAUUACAAUGAGCAAAAACUGACCAAAAAGUGCUAAAUAUGCAAGUCUUGACGCUAAAAGAUUUAUCAUCCCAAGAUUCAACUGGAAGGUUCUUGUGUGUGCUGCUCGAAUAUGAAAGUGUAGGCAUCAGAAAAACAAAGCAGAACUUAUAUGAGCUAGAGUUUAUUGUCGAUGAGGCUGAAGAUCAAAGAAGAAUUGAAGCACAUAUCAGGCGUGCCACCAAGGAGUAGGUUAUCCCCAACACGGUUGGCAAAGGCAUGGAAAUUAGCCUCCUUUUCUCUGACAAACAAGAGGUGACUUUGGUAAAUACUGAUUGCCCUCCAAGUAGAAAUAAUAAGGUUUUCCAAAAAUUGUGUUCUAUGUUUUUACGUCCCAAAUACCAAGUGUAAUGUGCAUACGAUGGCUUCCAGGGAUUGCAUAGUCAGUUUUUAUCUUUGAUGGUGUAAUAAAAGUUGUGACGAGAUCCCAUACAUGUACCACAUGCAUCAACAUUGUUGCCUUUUCUUUUUGCGAAUUCAUCUACAUUGUUGCUUGAUAGAUGAUU